GUCCACGCCGUAAACGAUGGGUACUAGGUGCCUGGGGGAGCGACCCCUUGGGUGCCGGCGCUAACGCAGGAAGUACCCCGCCUGGGGAGUACGGCCGCAAGGCUGAAACUCAAAGGAAUUGACGGGGGCCCGCACAAGCGGUGGAGCAUGUGGUUUAAUUCGACGCAACGCGAAGAACCUUACCUAGGCUUGACAUGCAUGGGAAACUCCUCAGAAACGAGGAGCCUCCUUCGGGAUCCAUGCACAGGUGCUGCAUGGCUGUCGU
rnacentral:rRNA from 1 species